AAAACAAACGAGGCAGGUUCAAGUAAAAAUGAUACACAAGAUUGCAGCUGUAAUGCUAAAUGUUACCUUUUGACAGCUGUCAGAGCCGUUAUUAAUCAUCAAGUCAUGUAUCCUGUUGACCUUCAGGAUGUGGGUCACAGUGACCUGACCUCAAAAGCUGAUCAAUAUCUCUGCUCUUUGG